rnacentral:lncRNA from 1 species
UCCAACAAUUAAUUAUGAAUCGGUGAAGACCUUCAAACUAUCGAUGUCAAGUUUCUUUGCGAUCUUCAAGCCGGCUAAGAGUGCUUCAUAUUCGGCUUGAUUAUUCGAUGCUUUGAAGUUGAACUGAAUGGCAUAUUCAGUGACCACUCCUUCGAAAUUUGUAAGAAUGAAACCUGCUCCACUGCCCUGUGCAUUAAAUGCUCCAUCAAUAUGCAGCAUCCAAAUCGACUUUAGGUC